CUUUACUGUAGCUUGGUAUUGGGUUCGGGCUUUGUUUGCGCAGGAUAGGUGGGAGGCGUUGAGAUAUCCCUUGUGGGGGAUAAGGAGCCAACGGUGAGAUACCACUCUAACAAGGCUAGAAUUCUAACUUUGAGCCGUGAAGCCGGCCAAAGGACAGUAUCAGGUGGGCAGUUUGACUGGGGCGGUCGCCUCCUAAACGAUAACGGAGGCGUACAAAGGUUCCCUCAGGCUGGUUGGAAAUCAGCCAUUGAGUGCAAAAGCAUAAGGGAGCUUGACUGCGAGACCUACAAGUCAAGCAGGGACGAAAGUCGGUUUUAGUGAUCCGACGGCACUGCGUGGAAGGGCCGUCGCUCAACGGAUAAAAGUUA
rnacentral:rRNA from 1 species